UCGUCGUGUAAUCCGCAGGUUAUACGAACAUCGACCAGUCGAACGCACAUUGCGGCCUCGGUGACCCGCGGGUCCCGGGCCACGCCUGUCUGAGGGUCG
rfam:Acyrthosiphon pisum strain LSR1 Contig1779, whole genome shotgun sequence.